AUUGAACGCUGGCGGCAGGCCUAACACAUGCAAGUCGCGCGAGCGGCGGACGGGUGAGUAAUGUAUGGGGACUGCCCGAUAGAGGGGGAUAACUACUGGAAACGGUGGCUAAUACCGCAUACUAUCGGAUAACCAACAUGUGAUUAGCUAGUAGGUGGGGGAAAGGCUAACCUAGGCGACGAUCUCUAGCUGGUCUGAGAGGAUUAUCAGCCACACUGGGACUGAUACACGGCCCAGACUCCGACGGAGGCAGCAGUAGUGAAUAUUGCACAAUGGGCGCAAGCCUGAUGCAGCCGUGCCGCGUGUAUGAAGAAGGCCUUAGGGUUGUAAAGUACUUUCAGCGGGGAGGCGUUACCCGCAGAAGAAGCACCGGCUAACUCCGUGCCAGCCGCCGCGGUAAUUC
rnacentral:rRNA from 1 species